GACGAACGCUGGCGGCGUGCUUAACACAUGCAAGUCGAACGGUGAAGCCCUUCGGGGUGGAUCAGUGGCGAACGGGUGAGUAACACGUGAGCAACCUGCCCCUGGCUCUGGGACAACCACUGGAAACGGUGGCUAAUACCGGAUACGACCCGCCUCGGCAUCGAGUGUGGGUGGAAAGUUUUUCGGCUGGGGAUGGGCUCGCGGCCUAUCAGCUUGUUGGUGAGGUGAAGGCUCACCAAGGCGACGACGGGUAGCCGGCCUGAGAGGGCGACCGGCCACACUGGGACUGAGACACGGCCCAGACUCCUACGGGAGGCAGCAGUGGGGAAUAUUGCACAAUGGGCGAAAGCCUGAUGCAGCGACGCCGCGUGAGGGAUGACGGCCUUCGGGUUGUAAACCUCUUUCAGCUCCGAAGAAGCGAAAGUGACGGUAGGAGCAGAAGAAGCACCGGCUAACUACGCG
rnacentral:rRNA from 1 species